GGGAGAAGCAGAAUCUAACAGGAAUGCUUGAAGAAUGACCAGAUAGGGGUCCGAUCACAAUGAAGCGGCCGCGAAACAUAUUACAUCUGAAACCAGCUCCUAGAAUGGACCCAGUGGGGCAGCUGCACCUCCAUCAUCUUCCCACUGAAGACGGUGAUGUCCAUUAACGGACCUGCAGGCCGGUAUCCUCUGCCUUCCAUCCUCAGCAUGUGUCCGUUC